rnacentral:lncRNA from 1 species
GAAAUUUUUCGGCCCCGCAGUGCAGCGUUUCAAUGCGGGUCAAAAUGAAACAAAUGUAAAAUUUAUGGGGCCAAAAUAAAAAAAUAAUAGAGACUAGGCUGCAUUAAGGUGCAAAAGCGGAGGGGCUGAACAUGUAAUUAGCCCUCCAAGCCAAAACACGCGGAUCUUGGCCAUACUCGGGUCGGGUGUUCGGGUCCCAUGUGAAACGACAUCAUUUUGGCCAUUGUUGCCUAAACCCAAAACGGCGUCGUUUUAUUCCCAAUGUAAAUAUCAAAAAUUAAAAAAAAAAGUUUAACCUCCAUUAAAAAAAACAACAGAGGGCUUUCAAACACCUCUCUCUCAGCCCCCAGAUCCGGCCAAUAAGGUCGUCGCCUGC